UUAAGUUAUUAAGGGCGCACGGUGGAUGCCUUGGCACUAGAAGCCGAUGAAGGACGUUACUAACGACGAUAUGCUUUGGGGAGCUGUAAGUAAGCGUUGAUCCAGAGAUUUCCGAAUGGGGAAACCCAGCAUGAGUUAUGUCAUGUUAUCGAUAUGUGAAUACAUAGCAUAUCAGAAGGCAGACCCGGAGAACUGAAACAUCUUAGUACCCGGAGGAAGAGAAAGAAAAAUCGAUUCCCUGAGUAGCGGCGAGCGAAACGGGAAGAGCCCAAACCAACAAGCUUGCUUGUUGGGGUUGUAGGACACUCUAUACGGAGUUACAAAAGUAUAUAUUAGACGAAUCAUCUGGAAAGUUGAAUCAAAGAAGGUAAUAAUCCUGUAGUCGAAAAUAUAUACUCUCUUGAGUGGAUCCUGAGUACGACGGAGCACGUGAAAUUCCGUCGGAAUCUGGGAGGACCAUCUCCUAAGGCUAAAUACUCUCUAGUGACCGAUAGUGAACCAGUACCGUGAGGGAAAGGUGAAAAGUACCCCGGAAGGGGAGUGAAAGAGAACUUGAAACCGUGUGCUUACAAGUAGUCAGAGCCCGUUAAUGGGUGAUGGCAUGCCUUUUGUAGAAUGAACCGGCGAGUUACGAUUUGAUGCAAGGUUAAGCAGCUAAUGUGGAGCCGUAGCGAAAGCGAGUCUGAAUAGGGCGUUUAGUAUUUGGUCGUAGACCCGAAACCAGGUGAUCUACCCUUGGUCAGGUUGAAGUUCAGGUAACACUGAAUGGAGGACCGAACCGACUUACGUUGAAAAGUGAGCGGAUGAACUGAGGGUAGCGGAGAAAUUCCAAUCGAACUUGGAGAUAGCUGGUUCUCUCCGAAAUAGCUUUAGGGCUAGCCUCAAGUGAUGAUUAUUGGAGGUAGAGCACUGUUUGGACGAGGGGCCCUUCUCGGGUUACCGAAUUCAGACAAACUCCGAAUGCCAAUUAAUUUAACUUGGGAGUCAGAACAUGGGUGAUAAGAUCCGUGUUCGAAAGGGAAACAGCCCAGACCACCAGCUAAGGUCCCAAAAUAUAUGUUAAGUGGAAAAGGAUGUGGCGUUGCCCAGACAACUAGGAUGUUGGCUUAGAAGCAGCCAUCAUUUAAAGAGUGCGUAAUAGCUCACUAGUCGAGUGACACUGCGCCGAAAAUGUACCGGGGCUAAACAUAUUACCGAAGCUGUGGAUUGUCCGUAGGACAAUGGUAGGAGAGCGUUCUAAGGGCGUCGAAGCAUGAUCGCAAGGACAUGUGGAGCGCUUAGAAGUGAGAAUGCCGGUGUGAGUAGCGAAAGACGGGUGAGAAUCCCGUCCACCGAUUGACUAAGGUUUCCAGAGGAAGGCUCGUCCGCUCUGGGUUAGUCGGGUCCUAAGCUGAGGCCGACAGGCGUAGGCGAUGGAUAACAGGUUGAUAUUCCUGUACCACCUAGUAUCGUUUUAAUCGAUGGGGGGACGCAGUAGGAUAGGCGAAGCGUGCUAUUGGAUUGCACGUCCAAGCAGUAAGACUGAGUGUUAGGCAAAUCCGGCACUCAUAAGGUCAAGCUGUGAUGGGGAGAGGAAAUUGUUUCCUCGAGUCGUUGAUUUCACACUGCCAAGAAAAGCCUCUAGAUAGAUAACAGGUGCCCGUACCGCAAACCGACACAGGUAGUCAAGAUGAGAAUUCUAAGGUGAGCGAGCGAACUCUCGUUAAGGAACUCGGCAAAAUGACCUCGUAACUUCGGGAGAAGGGGUGCUCUUUAGGGUUAACGCCCAGAAGAGCCGCAGUGAAUAGGCCCAAGCGACUGUUUAUCAAAAACACAGGUCUCUGCUAAACCGUAAGGUGAUGUAUAGGGGCUGACGCCUGCCCGGUGCUGGAAGGUUAAGAGGAGUAGUUAGCUUCUGCGAAGCUACGAAUCGAAGCCCCAGUAAACGGCGGCCGUAACUAUAACGGUCCUAAGGUAGCGAAAUUCCUUGUCGGGUAAGUUCCGACCCGCACGAAAGGCGUAACGAUUUGGGCACUGUCUCAACGAGAGACUCGGUGAAAUCAUAGUACCUGUGAAGAUGCAGGUUACCCGCGACAGGACGGAAAGACCCCGUGGAGCUUUACUGUAGCCUGAUAUUGAAAUUCGGCACAGCUUGUACAGGAUAGGUAGGAGCCUUUGAAACGUGAGCGCUAGCUUACGUGGAGGCAUUGGUGGGAUACUACCCUAGCUGUGUUGGCUUUCUAACCCGCACCACUUAUCGUGGUGGGAGACAGUGUCAGGUGGGCAGUUUGACUGGGGCGGUCGCCUCCUAAAAGGUAACGGAGGCGCUCAAAGGUUCCCUCAGAAUGGUUGGAAAUCAUUCAUAGAGUGUAAAGGCAUAAGGGAGCUUGACUGCGAGACUUACAAGUCGAGCAGGGUCGAAAGACGGACUUAGUGAUCCGGUGGUUCCGCAUGGAAGGGCCAUCGCUCAACGGAUAAAAGCUACCCCGGGGAUAACAGGCUUAUCUCCCCCAAGAGUUCACAUCGACGGGGAGGUUUGGCACCUCGAUGUCGGCUCAUCGCAUCCUGGGGCUGUAGUCGGUCCCAAGGGUUGGGCUGUUCGCCCAUUAAAGCGGUACGCGAGCUGGGUUCAGAACGUCGUGAGACAGUUCGGUCCCUAUCCGUCGUGGGCGUAGGAAAUUUGAGAGGAGCUGUCCUUAGUACGAGAGGACCGGGAUGGACAUACCUCUGGUGUACCAGUUGUCGUGCCAACGGCAUAGCUGGGUAGCUAUGUAUGGACGGGAUAAGUGCUGAAAGCAUCUAAGCAUGAAGCCCCCCUCAAGAUGAGAUUUCCCAACUUCGGUUAUAAGAUCCCUCAAAGAUGAUGAGGUUAAUAGGUUCGAGGUGGAAGCGUGGUGACACGUGGAGCUGACGAAUACUAAUCGAUCGAAGACUUAAUCAA
rnacentral:rRNA from 1 species